rnacentral:rRNA from 1 species
UAGCCUGAUAUUGAAAUUCGGCACAGCUUGUACAGGAUAGGUAGGAGCCUUUGAAACGUGAGCGCUAGCUUACGUGGAGGCGUUGGUGGGAUACUACCCUAGCUGUGUUGGCUUUCUAACCCGCACCACUUAUCGUGGUGGGAGACAGUGUCAGGCGGGCAGUUUGACUGGGGCGGUCGCCUCCUAAAAGGUAACGGAGGCGCUCAAAGGUUCCCUCAGAAUGGUUGGAAAUCAUUCAUAGAGUGUAAAGGCAUAAGGGAGCUUGACUGCGAGACC